CAUGCUGCAGUUUAAUGUUAGCCAGACAGGACCCAAAAAAGUCACCAGUUCUAGUUUUACUAGAGGCAACCACGGUACAGCUUACGUCCCGCACACGGUAACAAUCCACGCGUCGGUGUCAAAACGAAAGUAAAAGCCAAAGAAAAAUUAGUUUAACAAAAGCGAUGCCUCGCUGCUUCACGGGGAAAUCAGCUGCAGAUUCUGUCUUUCCGCAGCGCGUCAACAGCCGGUCUUAUGACAUUUCUACUGAAGUAGCGCAGUUUAGUUGCGGAAGUAUUUUCAGGAUAUGGUAAUAGACAUGACUAUACAUUUACUGGUAGAACAUUUCGACAAGGCAGGCCAAAUCGACAGAACACCGGAACCGCCUUGAGCAGCAGCCUUGUCCGAGAGCGAGUGGGUCUUGGCUGAAUGGGGAAAAGGCAAUGUUGUCUAGUUACCGUGGAUUGCCUCUCGGUUGCGAGGCGAGCUGCCUUUUUAAAGAUAGCCGGCGUCUUGUACAAAACCGCGGCAGGCGCGGCUUGUUUCACUCUCGUCUGGUGCGGCUGGGUGUCUGUCUGCGUGUGCACGCAGCUGUGCUGAGGCGUUCCUGCAAUGUCCAGAGCGCUGUAGGAGGCGGUGUUUGCUGGUGUGAAACGGGAAGUGGGUGGUGUGGUGUGAUGGAGAGCUGAGCCUCGACGGGCCCCAUGUGGGAUGCCAAAAAAGGCUCGGGGGUUCCUCACCUUCAGUGCGUUUUGGAAAUCCACGGACGACAAGAUCAAGGUAAAGUCGGUGUCUUUUUUCACGAGAAGGAUCCACUGAACAAAAUCCACAGCAAUUUUUCAUCCAAAAAACGUGUAGAGGACUUGUUCAGUGAAGGACUUGAUUCAGAUCUAUAUCGACCUGCUGCUGCCAGAGGUAGCAAGGGGAGGGUGGUGGAGAGUGGCAGGCGCAGGGAAAGUGAGAAUUUCUGCAAACGUCUUCAACUAGCACAUAGUAUAUAUUGUAUACUAUUUUACACCUCUAAACACCCAUAAUAUCAUUUGGUAACCAAGUGUCCUUUUUGAGUUUCCAAAUGGCCUUUUUGGAAACCUGGCUAGACAUAGCUUAGAAAAAAAACAAUGCAGAAUGCACGUUUGGUGGUAUUCAAUUUUGAACCAGGAUUUGCCCAAUGGUGUGGCUGUGGCUUCAUUGUAUUUUUAAACCCACCAGGCAUUUGUAUCCAUUCCUCCAAAAAGUUAAUAAAAUAAAAAAAAUAAUCUUUUAGGUGAGAGAAAAAACUUCCACUGUGUUUGAGCUUCUAGUAGGCUACUUUCUGAUUUAUUAUUUUUUAAGAGCAAUUCUGACUCUUGGCAAACAAACUCCCAAGGGUUACGUUUCAGCAGAGCCAGGAUUAUGCCUGUAGUCAAAAGGGCUCAAGUAGUAGCCAUUUUAUUGUGGGCAUGUCAUUUUCAGACUUGUGAUAAAAAAGGUGUGAUGCUGGAGGCGUUAUACUGCUCUGUAUUCGCCCUUGUAUCUCAUUUCCUGUCUCUAACUGCACGCUCAUCUCGUGUGUAGAUCAUGUUCUUCAUUACUUUCUCCUCUCAUUGUGUAGUCACAUUGCUGUAGGCUACGAUCAUAAGCAUAAUAUAAUAUAUAAUUGAAAACAAGCAAACAAAUAAAUGCAUAAAUAAAUA